rnacentral:lncRNA from 1 species
AAGUUGAUGUUUUAUAGAUUAAAGCGAAGAAAAAAAACAUGUUAAAACUAAAAUUUUGUAAACAGGACUUUACCCCACAAUUAUUUUUUUAAAUUGAGGUAAAAAGUAGCGCAAUUUUGAAAAUUCAAAAAUACAGUUGAUGAGGAUCGAACCCAUGAUCAAUACCACUUUUCCCCCCGGGUAUUCAAAAAUUGAGGGGUAAAAUGAUAGGUUUUCAUGUUGUCAUUCAUUACCUCGCUUCUGUAACCGAGGUUAUAUCCUUUUAGCAUCCAAGGUGAAAUAGGAUUAUUUGUAGUAGUGAUUCUAUAA